CCGGCUUUCUCUACAUUUUUCUCUAUAUUUUGCUUCUGCUGGAUUGAUUUCUCCUUCAACAUGCAUGGCUAUUUAUAGAAAUCAACCUAGUAGAGCCGACAAAUUUGCCCAGGCAAAUUUGUUGCUUAUUGGUGAAGGCAUCCACUCGCCUAAGUGAGUGGUAGCUCGCCCAGGAUAGUUGCUUGCUUAGGGAUGAAGUUACAUCUUUAGCCUAGGCGAGCUGGAUGCUAGCCUGGGCGAAUUUGGGGUCAGAAAUAUUUAUGAAAAGACCAUUUUGCCCUUCCUUUUGGCUUUGUUUUUGGAUCUAACAAGCAACCAUCAAAACCUAUAAAAUCAUGGAUGCAUCUUUCAUAUUUAAACAACAACAUUAGUAAGUGU
rnacentral:lncRNA from 1 species